rnacentral:rRNA from 1 species
UGUCCUCCUYUGAAUCACAAACGACUCUCGGCAACGGAUAUCUCGGCUCACGCAUCGAUGAAGAACGUAGCAAAAUGCGAUACUUGGUGUGAAUUGCAGAAUCCCGUGAACCAUCGAGUUUUUGAACGCAAGUU